UACGGGGGGGGCAGCAGUUGUUCGGUGAAUUACUGGGGCGUAAAGGGCACGUAGGCGGCUUUCUAAGUCAGGGGUGAAAUCCUGGAGCUCAACUCCAGAACUGCCUUUGAUACUGGAGAGCUUGAGUCCGGAAGAGGUGAGUGGAACUCCGAGUGUAGAGGUGAAAUUCGUAGAUAUUCGGAAGAACACCAGUGGCGAAGGCGGCUCACUGGUCCGGUACUGACGCUGAGGCACGAAAGCUAGGGGAGCAAACAGG
rnacentral:rRNA from 1 species